rnacentral:rRNA from 1 species
UACAGAGGGUGCGAGCGUUAAUCGGAAUUACUGGGCGUAAAGCGUGCGUAGACGGUUAUUUAAGUCGGGUGUGAAAGCCCCGGGCUCAACCUGGGAAUUGCAUUCGAGACUGAAUAGCUAGGGUACGGUAGAGGGAAGUGGAAUUUCCGGUGUAGCGGUGAAAUGCGUAGAGAUCGGGAGGAACAUCUGUGGCGAAGGCGACUGCCUGGACCAGCACUGACACUGAGGCACGAAAGCGUGGGGAGCAAACAGG